ACGGGUGAGUAACGCGUAGGAACAUGCCUUGUAGUGGGGGAUAACCUAGGGAAACUUAGGAUAAUACCGCAUGAUACUUAAGAGUUAAAGCAGGGGACCGAAAGGCCUUGCGCUAUGAGAUUGGCCUGCGUCUGAUUAGCUUGUUGGUGGGGUAAAGGCCUACCAAGGCGAAGAUCGGUAACUGGUCUGAGAGGACGACCAGUCACACUGGGACUGAGACACGGCCCAGACUCCUACGGGAGGCAGCAGUGGGGAAUAUUGGACAAUGGGGGCAACCCUGAUCCAGCAAUGCCGCGUGUGUGAAGAAGGCCUUAGGGUUGUAAAGCACUUUUGUUAGGGAGGAAGGAGCAUAGGUUAAUAACCUAUGUAACAGACGUUACCUAAAGAAUAAGCACCGGCUAACUCUGUGCCAGCAGCCGCGGUAAUACAGAGGGUGCAAGCGUUAAUCGGAAUUACUGGGCGUAAAGGGUGCGUAGGUGGACUGAUAAGUCGGAUGUGAAAUCCCUGGGCUUAACCUAGGAACUGCAUUCGAUACUGUUAGUCUAGAGUACGGUAGAGGUAAGUGGAAUUUCCGGU
rnacentral:rRNA from 1 species